rnacentral:pre_miRNA from 1 species
UCUAGCCAACCGGAUCCACUAGCGGGGAAGAAGGGGUCGUCAGAUCUAGCGGUCAUGGCUUUCUCGCUAGAUGAUGCGGCAGCGGUAC